UACAGAGGGUGCGAGCGUUAAUCGGAUUUUACUGGGGCGUAAAAGCGUGCGUAGGCGGCUGAUUAAGUCGGAUGUGAAAUCCCUGAGCUUAACUUAGGAAUUGCAUUCGAUACUGGUCAGCUAGAGUAUGGGGAGAGGAUGGUAGAAUUCCAGGUGUAGCGGUGAAAUGCGUAGAGAUCUGGAGGAAUACCGAUGGCGAAGGCAGCCAUCUGGCCUAAUACUGUCGCUGAGGUACGAAAGCGUGGGGAGCAAACAGG
rnacentral:rRNA from 1 species